UGUUCGCCAAACUGGAACCUGGGGCACUAUUACCAUUGCUGGUCGGUGUUGAUGAGUUCGACAAAUCGCCAGAUGACGAUGUGAUGUUACGGGUUGGUGGAAGCUUUCCUGUGCUAGUUCGAGUUAUUGGUAGGACCUGGGCUGCAGUCAGUUUCUCCUGUUUUUCACCAUAAAGUUUGAUCUCCCAUAGCUCCAACUUGUCAAAGUUCAAUUUUAUAUUUCUAAAACAGAAACACAUCACUUGUUUUCAAUUUUCAUCGAAAUCACAACAAAUCAUGUAACGCAAUACAUGCACUGUAUGUCAAAAUGAAAAUGUUACAAAAGUAGGCCGGCUUCUAUUUUCCCACUCUGAUUUCGAUCCAAGUAGUCUACUUGGUAGGUGCACACAACAUUACUCGUCACUGCUGUUUGAAAUUGCAAUAGAGAAGCAAGAAGAAAUUUCACUCAGCACCAAGAUGAACCGAACGAACGUUACAUCCCGGAUUCCGACUGGCUUGAGGGUUCCGAGAGGCUAUCGGGCCACCCAAGCAAAUGGAGGUAGAGCGGAAUCGGGAGGGAAAGUUCGUUUUCCACCCAAGACAAUUCCAACCAAGAACGAGAUAUAUCCUGAAGAGGGCAUGAUCGAGGACGAAGAUUUUCCGCCGCUGUUCCAUGAUGACAUCGAGGAUACUGGAGAUGACGUGUACGACUGGGAGCCGAUAGACAUUUCCGAGGUCGACGAGAUAUAUUUUCGGAAGAUGAAGGCUGAAUCGGAGCUUCAAAAAAUGAUGGCGGAAAACACCAGAUUGCGGCAGGAGAAUCAACGGCUUAAAACAGCAGCGAAAGGGGUAAGACUUUUUAAGUAUUGUUGUUUUAAAAUGCUACUAGUUGUUGCAGGAGAAGUGGCGCAGUCGCUCUUUAUUUAAAUCUUUUAUUAUACACGUAAUUAGGAAGCGUUCAGUGUUUUUGUUUGUUAUCUUCAAAUUUUGUUAUUUCAAGUUGUUCCGUUGUAUUUAUUGCAUUUGUUCUGUUGUUGUCUUCAUUUGUUUUGUUGAGUUUAGUUGCGUUGUACUAUUCCGUGUUGUAGAAUUUAUUGUUAUGCUGUGAGUUUUGUUUGAUAUAUUUUUGAUGUUUUAGUUUUUCUGUAAUAUUUGGAUGUUUCUCAGUAGUAUUUAGAUUUAUUUUAUUUAUACCGUUAUUGUUUUCCGUAUUCUGUUGGAUUUUCUUAUGUUACUUUGAGUUUCAGAGUUGUUAUUUUUUUACACUACUGAUUUUUCUAUUAUUUGAUUGUUCUAUUGUUUUCCGCUGUAGAUAUUAUUAAUAUUUUUUUCUUUCUUACAUUGCAUCAAAUACAUGAGAGCUAUCGAGGGGAAUCUUCUGGCCUUGGCCUGACUUGCUAGCCUACAACACUGAGAAAUGGCUAUGAGUAGGUGACACAAGGAGUGACGUGAUAGAUCAAACCGAGGGAAUUCAUAGAGAUGGGGCCAAGUCACGAUUUAGCUUUAAUAUUUUUUUUAACAAUUUUUGUUGUAAAAUAAAAUAAAAUAAAUUAAUUUACAAUAAACUAA